rnacentral:tRNA from 1 species
AUUAUUUUGGCAGAAAAAGUGCAAUGAAUUUAGAAUUCAUGUAUGUAAUAUUGAAUUUACAAAUAAUA